rnacentral:rRNA from 1 species
UACGAAGGGGGCUAGCGUUGCUCGGAAUCACUGGGCGUAAAGCGCACGUAGGCGGAUUGUUAAGUCAGGGGUGAAAUCCUGGAGCUCAACUCCAGAACGGCCUUUGAUACUGGCGAUCUCGAGUCCGGGAGAGGUGAGUGGAACUGCGAGUGUAGAGGUGAAAUUCGUAGAUAUUCGAAAGAACACCAGUGGCGAAGGCGGCUCACUGGCCCGGUACUGACGCUGAGGUGCGAAAGCGUGGGGAGCAAACAGG